GCUAGUACUGGCGCGGGAGGCGGGAGGUUGGAGGCGAGGAGCUCGCGGCCUAGGCUGUUUGGGUCCCUGGCGCGAGCUGUAGACGGAGAGAGGGGUCCGGAGAAGGAGGGGUGAAAGUAGCAGUUAGCCCGCGAUCUCAGAAGGGCUGCCCGCCCCUCACGGUCCCUUAAUAGCACGUUGCGUCCUGGAAGUUCUAAAACGUCCCGCUUCAAUAUGAAUUUUAAAUUAGUGAAAACAUAUGUGUAUUGUUUUAGGCUUUCCCACCGCGGGGACGGCCCUCCGGGGGUUGGUGAGUUACAUAAGAAAGCAAUAAUAAUAAACCCAUUUAUUGACACGAUGCUUCCAUUUAUGAACAUUUGAUCUCAGUAACGGAGGUACCCGACGACUUUCGUCUUUUACAGACUUAGCUGGGAUGCAGAAUAGAAGCUGGGCCUUUGUCUGACUACCCUGCAACAGUCAGCCACAGACGGGAAGGCAGCGCAGGAAACUGAGGCCAAAGGAGCCGCGCUUCCUCAUGAGCAUGAAGCGGCAAAGCCUGAACUAGAAGCUUCUAACGCCUAACCGUCCUCUUGCCGCACCAGGACCUACCUCUGCAAGGCCCUUCCUGACUUUUUCCUUAGAAUGUGUGUAUAUGUGUCUUUUUCCUUUUCUGAUGCUAAGACACCUCAGAAACACCAAUGUUAAGCAGAUUUCCAUCGUUGGAGGUUAAAACACCCGAAUACAAGUGUUUUCUUGAGUGUGGCAUCUGGUCAGAUGUUUUAUGGGUUGGUUUGUUUUUAAAAAAAAAAAAUUUCCUGUUAGAUGGGUGGUAAGAACCAGUCAGAGUUUGUAAACCCACCAAGCACGAGGCGGUCGGACCGUCCAGAUUCUGGAGUCCAGAAGACACCAAACGUUCUCAGAAUGCCGAACGCGGG
rnacentral:lncRNA from 1 species